UACGGAGUGUGCAAGCGUUACUCGGAAUCACUGGGCAUAAAGAGCACGUAGGUGGAGUCGCAUGUCGGUGGUGAAAUCCCCCAGCUCAACUGGGGAGCUGCUUCCGAAACUGCGAUUCUUGAGGACGAGAGGGGAGAGUGGAACUUCUGGUGGAGCGGUGAAAUGCGUAGAUAUCAGAAGGAACACCGGUGGCGAAAGCGACUCUCUGGCUCGUAUCUGACACUGAGGUGCGAAAGCUUGGGUAGCAAACAGG
rnacentral:rRNA from 1 species